rnacentral:rRNA from 1 species
CCUACGGGUGGCAGCAGUGAGGAAUAUUGGUCAAUGGGCGCGAGCCUGAACCAGCCAAGCAGCGUGAAGGAUGACGGCCCUACGGGUUGUAAACUUCUUUUGUCGGGGAAUAAAGUGAGGCACGUGUGCCUUUUUGUAUGUACUUUAUGAAUAAGGAUCGGCUAACUCCGUGCCAGCAGCCGCGGUAAUCCGGAGGAUCCGAGCGUUAUCCGGAUUUAUUGGGUUUAAAGGGAGCGUAGAUGGGUUGUUAAGUCAGGUGUGAAAGUCCGCGGCUCAACCGGAUAAUUGCAAUUGAUACUGGCAGCCUUGAGUACAGUUGAGGUAGGCGGAAUGCGUGGUGUAGCGGUGAAAUGCAUAGAUAUCACGCAGAACUCCGAUUGCGAAGGCAGCCUACUAAACUGCGACUGACACUGAUGCACGAAAGUGUGGGUAUCAAACAGGAUUAGAUACCCUUGUAGUC